rnacentral:misc_RNA from 1 species
GAUGAAGAACGUAGCAAAAUGCGAUACUUGGUGUGAAUUGCAGAAUCCCGUGAACCAUCGAGUUUUUAAACGCAAGUUGCGCCCGAAGCCUUUUGGCCGAGGGCACGUCUGCCUGGGCGUCACGCAUCGCGUCGCCCCCCACAAUUCUCCGUAAAGGGAACAUGUGUUUUGGGGGCGGAUAUUGGUCUCCCGUGCUCAUGGCGUGGUUGGCCGAAAUAGGAGUCCUUUCGAUGGACGCACGAACUAGUGGUGGUCGUAAAAACCCUCGUCUUUUGUUUCGUGCUGUUGGUCGCAAGGUAAACUCUUUAAAAACCCCAAUGUGUCGUCUCUUGACGACGCUUCGACCGCGACCCCAGGUCAGGCGGGACUACCCGCUGAGUUUAAGCAUAUCAAUAAGCGGAGGA